CUUGUCCACAGGGUUGGUAUUGUUUAGCUGGUUCUGGAGCUCCAUCUGGCCGCUGCAGCUCUGGUCACUACUGUCCAGAAGGGACUGCAUAUAGCACUCAGUUUGCUUGCCCUGUGGGAACCUACAGCAUCCGAAUGGGGAAUAGAAACAAAAAAGACUGUUUCAUCUGUCCUGAAGGCUUCUUCUGUGAGCAAGGCACCUCAAAACCUUCUCCGUGCCCACCGUCCACAUACCAUCUCCGGAAAGGAGGUCAAAGACUGGAGGAAUGCUCUCCAUGCCCUGCUGGCUACUUCUGUCCUCACUCAGCUACUGUCAACCCAAGAGUGUGUGGAGCUGGCAGCUAUUCUGACGAGGGCUCCGUGGAGUGUGCUCCGUGCUUGCAGGGCCACUACUGCAGUAAUGAAACCACGAGUGAGGAAGCAAUGCUGAGUGUUAUGGUAUGCCCUCCAGGUUUUUUAUGCUCUCAGGGUUUGGCCCGAGACCCUCAGCGCUCUGCCACUCUCUGUCCUCUGGGGUUUUACUGUCCAGGUGGAAGCAUUGUGAGUUAGAGCCACACGUACAGCCUACAGUCUGCUGCUCACAUGUCUGAAUCACUAUUUUAAACUGCCUGUUUGUGUGUGUGUGUAUUUAUACUUUCAGA
rnacentral:lncRNA from 1 species